rnacentral:rRNA from 1 species
AUGCAGCUAUUUGCUUUUGAUACAGCCAAAAAAUUCCUGACUCCAAAGGGUGAUGAGUCCUCUAAGACCCCCUUCCCUCCAUCACUUGUCGCGGGGGCACUUGCAGGUGUCAGCUCAACACUGUGCACAUAUCCUUUGGAACUGAUCAAGACACGUCUGACUAUAGAGAAAGACGUAUAUGACAACUUUCUCCAUUGCCUCGUCAAGAUUGUACGAGAGGAAGGCCCCUCGGAGCUUUACCGUGGUCUGACGCCGAGUCUGAUAGGAGUGGUGCCAUACGCCGCGACCAACUACUAUGCCUACGACACCCUGAGGAAGCUCUACAGGAAGACAUUCAAGCAGGAGGAGAUCAGCAACCUUGCAACCCUCCUGAUUGGUUCGGCCGCGGGCGCCAUCUCGAGCACUGCCACCUUCCCUCUCGAAGUAGCUCGGAAGCAAAUGCAGGCUGGGGCGGUGGGUGGAAGGCAGGUCUACAAGAACGUGUUCCAUGCCCUCUACUGCAUAAUGGAGAAGGAAGGGAUGGGCGGCCUGUACAAGGGGCUCGGGCCCAGCUGCAUCAAGCUCAUGCCCGCGGCGGGGAUCUCGUUCAUGUGCUACGAGGCAUGCAAGAAGAUUCUGGUCGAAGCCGAGGAGUAG